rnacentral:rRNA from 1 species
AUACGGAGGGUGCGAGCGUUAAUCGGAAUUACUGGGCGUAAAGCGCGCGUAGGCGGUUCGAUAAGUCUGAUGUGAAAGCCCUGGGCUUAACCUGGGAAUGGCAUUGGAUACUGUUGAACUAGAGUGCGGGAGAGGAGAGUGGAAUUCUCGGUGUAGCAGUGAAAUGCGUAGAUAUCGGGAGGAACACCAGUGGCGAAGGCGGCUCUCCGGACUGACACUGACGCUGAGGUGCGAAAGCGCGGGUAGCAAACAGGAUUAGAAACCCCAGUAGUCC